GACGUAGGGCGCGAGCGUUGUCCGGAUUUAUUGGGCGUAAAGAGCUCGUAGGCGGCUUGUCGCGUCGACUGUGAAAACCCGCGGCUCAACUGUGGGCUUGCAGUCGAUACGGGCAGGCUGGAGUUCGGUAGGGGAGACUGGAAUUCCUGGUGUAGCGGUGAAAUGCGCAGAUAUCAGGAGGAACACCGGUGGCGAAGGCGGCUUGCUGGGCCAGUUCUGACGCUGGAGGAGCGAAAGCGUGGGGAGCGAACAGG
rnacentral:rRNA from 1 species